UAUUAGGUACAUGCCUACAACGCUAAUGCACAAGAUCCCUUUAGAUAUUCAUAGUUAAGUGCUCUUGGGCUAGAGUAGUAUUGGGGUGGGUGAUCUCUGGGGAAAUCCUAGUGUUUUACAUGC
rnacentral:rRNA from 1 species